rnacentral:tmRNA from 1 species
GGGGGCGCCAAGGUUUCGACGGGGAUUGGAAGCUAAGGUUGCAUGUCGGAGUGGGCUGGCUCCGUAAAAAAGCCCAUUACAUACAAACGCCGAUACUGACGUUUCGUACGCAUUAGCAGCUUAGGCUGCUACGUCUGCUGGUUACUUCGCCUGCGGGUUUCCAGUGGACGUCAAUUCAGCGGGCUGGUUGUUGUUCAGGUCUGUGGCUCAACAACGAGAACUUAAGCAGAAUCGCCGAUGGUAAGACCCUGUCUGUGGGGGCGGCCACCGGUUAAAUCUAAAACAUAGACUACACAUGUAGACGCCUUAAGUGAAAGAUUUUCGGACGCGGGUUCGAUUCCCGCCGCCUCCACCA